UACAGAGGGGGCAAGCGUUGUUCGGAAUUACUGGGCGUAAAGGGCGCGUAGGCGGCCUUCUAAGUCGAACGUGAAAUCCCCGGGCUCAACCCGGGAACUGCGUCCGAUACUGGAAGGCUUGAAUCCGGGAGAGGGAUGCGGAAUUCCAGGUGUAGCGGUGAAAUGCGCAGAUAUCAGGAGGAACACCGAUUGCGAAGGCAGCUCGCUGGGACGUCACUGACGCUGAGACGCGAAAGCGUGGGGAGCAAACAGG
rnacentral:rRNA from 1 species